CAGUGACCUACUGUUCCUAUUGGCCCAAGACUUGGAUUUUGAGGGUACUAGGCCACUGUCCCACAGCACACCAGGCUGGAUGUCUCAGGAGCCCCAGUCUGGGCCUGAAAACUGAAGGGUUCCUGGAAAGCUGCUGCUCUUAGUCUGCAUUGGAAUCCUGAAGAAGUUGAUUCUGAUCAUGUGAAGGGAUGCUGCAGCAGCAGGAUAGAUGAACUUACCAGCGAGAGUGAGGGCAAGCGGGAAGAAAGCAGAGUUUUCUUCUUCCACGUCCUUUUAUGUGGACUGUCACCAGAAGAUGCCAUACACAACACACAUUUAAGUGCCUGGGCACAUGGUGGCAAAUCCUUCACCAGCUGGACCAGUCUGGGGGCUGAACUGAGAUCCUCCUGAGGACCAGCAGGAUGCUCCUCCCGGCAGUGAGAGUAGAGAUCAUUACAGAUGCCUCAGAAGUCCCAAUCCAGUGCUGCAAGCCUGGAAGCUGGAGAACUGCUGACUUCUAAUCCCCACUGGGAAGCUGAAGAAGCUGAAGUUGGACAUCAGGGGAGGAUGGUAGCAUAUCUGACAGAUGUACUCAGAGAAGAAGGAAAAGGAGAAGGGGGAGAAGAAGGAAGAGGAGGAGAAGAAAGGAAGAGAAGA